GACAGAGGUGCCAAGCGUUAGGCGGAAUCACUGGGCUUAAAGCGUGUGUAGGCGGAUUCCUAAGUACCUUGUGAAAUCCCACGGCUCAACCGUGGAACUGCUCGGUAUACUGGGUAUCUUGAGCCACUUAGGGGCGACCGGAACAAAUGGUGGAGCGGUGAAAUGCGUAGGUAUCGUCUGGAACGCCGAAGGUGAAAACAGCUCGCUGGGGCUGCGCUGACGCUGAGACACGAAAGCCAGGGGAGCGAACGGG
rnacentral:rRNA from 1 species